UUGCAUUAUUUCAUAAUUUUUGUCAAGAUUCGAAUAAGUAUGACGCCUGGCCAAUCUUGUAGUAAUUAUUGUACCUCAAUUUUGGUUUCGUCUUUCAUUAAAAAACGAAAAGUGCUAUAUAGAACAUCUAUUGUUAGUGCAAUGAUUAAUAAAUAUAUUUGAUAACUUUAUUUUUUUAUAUCUUUUUAUUAUGAAAGCUGCUGUAAAUUGUUUUUAUGCAUGAAUAAAAUUUCAAACUUUUCUUUUCUAUUUUUGGAAUUUGUUUGUAAAAAUACAGGAAUACGACAUACUGUCUGAUCGUUUUCGUAAUUGAAUGACGACCAUUUUGUUUCGAUCUUUCGUUGGAAACUAUAGAAUACUCAGCAGAGUUCUGAUAUCACUAAGAAAAUGGUUUGCAUAUAUUUCUCGUUUUUGAAUUUUUCCGCAUUUUCUGACAAGACUCGAAUAAGUAUGAUGUCUAAUCGAUUUCACGAUCGUGUAGAAACUGUUAUACCUCAACUUCGAUUUGAUCUUUCAUUGAAAAAAGAAGUUUUGUAUAGAACUAUUGAUAGUGCAACGAUCAGUGAAGGAAUUUGCUCCGGUUUGCGAGAAGUCCGCAUCCAGAUACCGACGGCCGUGAAGAAAGGUGACUCUGCGAUACUGAACUGCUGGUAUGACACCGAGGGUGAUCCUUUAUACACCGUCAAGUGGUACAAAGGGGGUCGAGAGUUUUAUCGCUAUGCCCCGAACGAGAUCCCGAUCUUCAAGACUUUCCCCAUCGGGAACUUGACGGUGAAGAAAAGCGAAAGCAACGCGACCCAAGUCGCCCUGACCAACCUGGAGUUGGACGCUGCGGGGGUGUACAGUUGCGAAGUCUCCGCGGAUGCUCCUUCCUUCCAGACGGCCUGUGUCCAAGACACCAUGAACAUCGUAGAAUUACCCUCUCAAGGGCCGUCGAUACUCGGGUUAAGGAGGAAAUACCGGAUCGGCGAUACGCUACGUUUGAACUGCACAUCCGGACGGAGUAAACCCGCGGCCAAUCUCACCUGGUACAUCAACGACCGACAACCGCUGAAGCCGCAUGUCCGCACGUACAGUCCUUUGGACACGAACGAGUCCGAGUGGCAGAUUUCCCAGAUCGGCCUUCAAUUUCUCGUUACGCACGAGCAUUUCGCCGGAGGCAAGUUGAAAAUACGUUGCAGCGCCUCGAUAUACGAUAUUUACUGGCAGAGCACAGAGGUCAGCUUCGAGGAAGACAGGGCACCGCCGAAGGUGAUACAAUACCAGCCAGCUGCGACCAUUGUGGGUAUCGACUAUCUACAACCACCACCCAACUUCCAGACCGGUCAGAAGAAACCUGAUGGCCAUGUUGGAGUGAAAGGAUUAUUUGCUGCGGCUUUGGAUUAUUUGGCGCAUCAAGUGAGCCGCACUUCAACGGCAUGCACAAACGGCCCGCUCUCGAAAACACAACGAUGCAGGUAGCAACAGCAGCAGCAGCAGCAUCAGCAGCAGCAAUAGCAACAGCAACAACAACAACGGCGGACAAUCGGCCGACCACCAGCAAUGAAUGACAAUGAAAAGACAGAGCGGAAACGAGGCGAAGAGAGGGAAGAGAGGGAGAUGAUAUCGGUUUCCUCCGUUCCGUGAUCACCGGGGUUCUCGGCUCGUCCAGAUCGGAUGCAAGACUUCCUUUGGCGCGGCUGGUCCUGGGACUGUCCCUUUUGAUCGCCAUUCGUUAACCGUACCGCAUUCAACUACGCGCGCUUUGGAGCUGUUUAUAUAAAUCGACGUGCUUGUAAAGAAAAGUCCAGGCCGCUUUGUGUCACGUGAUGAUCGUCCUCCGGCGAUAGAGAAAGGGCCACGUGGUUGCGCGCCCUUUUCUGGAUUAGGAGGAAGGGAAGAGGAGACGCGUGGCUGGAGAUCAAAAACAGAAAAAGAAAAAGAAUGAAAGAAAUGAGGGGGAUGAAAAGAAUUGCACGAGGCUUGUUUUCAGCCUUGGACGAGAUCUAGACUAAUGAAGGGAAAGGAGCAGCGAGGAAUCAGACAAUGGACAGGGGAUAUUCGAACGGGGUGAAUCGCGAGGAACCGGAAACUACCACUUUGCUGCCAUUUUGCGAUGAACUGUUUAUUUAUUCAAAUGAUGAUAACGAAAGAGUGAAUUCGGUAGUCCAUCAACUGCGAGAUCAGUGAAAACGAGACGAAACGACGAAAAUAUCAUAUUUUAUUAUUAGAUUUUAUUUACUUCUUUUUGAUCAGAUCAUGUGUUUGCAACGUUUAGUUUAUAAUAUUGUGUUAAAAAAAGAAAAUGAUGUGCUUUCUUUUUCAUAUUUUUUUAAAAUUUAUGAAACAAGAAUUAAAUUAUGGAUAUAUGCGUUCAUAUAUCAUCUCUAUCGUUCUCAUUGCCAUUCUCUCUCACUGCCAUUCUCUCUCAUUGCCAUUUUUUAUUUUUUGUCUUUUCACUUCAUACGUCAAUUCUAAUUAGAAAGAGAGACGGUUCGAUGAUAUCGCGCGAUUCGCCUAAAACGAAGAAAAAAAGAAAUAAGAGAGAAAUAAGAUAAAUCGGAGAAACAGUGAGCGAGAAGAUGUACCUGAUGAAUCGGAUAUUCGACGAAUCACUUUGCGUUGCCACUUAUCCAGUCUAAUAUUCUUGUAAAAGCGUGAUUUAACGAACGAGGGAACCGUAUAUAACUACGCAGUUGCGCUUGAAACGUUCUUUCCCGCGCAAAAAAAAUGUUCGUCGUUGAAACGCUCUCUAGCGGGAGAAAUAGGCGAGAACGAAGAGAACAAAAGGGGAGAAUAAAAAGAAGGAGACCGGCGAAAGAAGAAUCUAUAUGUAUUUACGAUUGAGAGACAAAAAGAAAAAAAAGAGAUGAUCGUUUGUUAUCCAUUCCCUCUUCAUCAAUUGCGUUUCUAUUCGUGUGUAAUCCAUGUGUAAUUUCAUCUCGAAGCUUAUUAUUACGUAUUGGGUUUAUUAAAUUAAUGCCAUUUGCCGUUCAAUUUAAUGCGUUUCCCUUUUCCCCGAUACAUUUGUCAACCGCGUUUGACAUACCUACGAAUAUAACGAAUAAUAAAACCGAUUACACAGUCACGUUCUGUUUACAAUGAAUAUCGAGCUUACUGUUCUCCCCCGGCCUGCUUCCGGUUAGAACGUUGUUUCCUGUUGCUCACGCUGGUGUAUCGUUCGCCUCGAAUCGGUACGCGCGCACAAAUUGUAUGUCUUGCGAGUUGUCGCUCGAAGAUUUAUUUAUUUAUUUUCUUAUUUGUCGUUUCGCAAUGACGGACGAGCAAUCGAGCGAAAAAAAAAAGAAGAAACAAAAAGAAUAAAAGAAAAAGUUGAUAAUGAAAAGAAAACAAGAGAAUACGAUGAAGUCGUAUUAUAUGUAUAUGUAUAUGUAUAUUAUGUAUUAACGAGCGGUGUGUGCUAGUAUUAGUUACGAAUUAUUGAUUAAGGAUCGCAACGACUGAAUAAUACUCUACAUGAUUUUCUAAUUGUAAUAAAUAUUUUUGAAACCGUCAUCUCGUUUCUACGUAGUUAACACGAGCGAGUGUUCGAUAGGGAAACGUGUUUCAUUAUAGCCAAAGAGAAAAAAAAAAGAAAAAAAAGAGAGAGAACUCGAGUAAAAGUGGUGUAAUUAAUAUUUUCGAACGGAUCUAUAUAAAGAAACAAAUAAAUGUAAAGUGUCAGAGAUAUCUCGCGUGUCUGCAGCAUAGUUUCACGAUUCUUUGUGUAAUAGGAAUGAUGCUAGUCGAAUUUUUGCCAAUUUUUUGGUAUCGAUGCUCAUUAUGUUCCUCAGCUUGUCACGAUACGAAAGAAUAUUUAUGAUAAUAAUAAUGAUAUGACCACAA